rnacentral:rRNA from 1 species
UGGGGAAUAUUGCACAAUGGGCGCAAGCCUGAUGCAGCCAUGCCGCGUGUGUGAAGAAGGCCUUCGGGUUGUAAAGCACUUUCAGCGAGGAGGAAGGGUUCAGUGUUAAUAGCACUGUUCAUUGACGUUACUCGCAGAAGAAGCACCGGCUAACUCCGUGCCAGCAGCCGCGGUAAUACGGAGGGUGCAAGCGUUAAUCGGAAUUACUGGGCGUAAAGCGCACGCAGGCGGUUUGUUAAGUCAGAUGUGAAAUCCCCGCGCUUAACGUGGAACUGCAUUUGAAACUGGCAAGCUAGAGUCUUGUAGAGGGGGGUAGAAUUCCAGGUGUAGCGGUGAAAUGCGUAGAGAUCUGGAGGAAUACCGGUGGCGAAGGCGGCCCCCUGGACAAAGACUGACGCUCAGGUGCGAAAGCGUGG